UGCAAAAUCAUGGUCAGCAAGGA
rnacentral:piRNA from 1 species